UACGUAGGGUGCAAGCGUUGUCCGGAAUUAUUGGGCGUAAAGAGCGUGUAGGCGGUCCGGUAAGUCGGCUGUGAAAGUCCAGGGCUCAACCCUGGGAUGCCGGUCGAUACUGCCGGACUAGAGUUCGGAAGAGGCGAGUGGAAUUCCCGUGUAGCGGUGAAAUGCGCAGAUAUCGGGAGGAACACCUAUGGCGAAGGCAGCUCGCUGGGACGUUACUGACGCUGAGACGCGAAAGCCAGGGGAGCGAACGGG
rnacentral:rRNA from 1 species